CAAGAGUGUUUUCAGGGAGGGCCUAAUGAUAAUGUCAGUGAGAAAUCCCAUUUCCUACCUGCUGAAGACCUUUCCUUAUAUUGACCAGAUUUGAGCUGGCACUUUCCAGUCAUCUGCAGAUACAUCUUUUUUCACAAUGAAUCCUUCUCACUGGAGACCAGAGAAGAGACGUGCAGUUCCAUGGUUAAUUCAGAUCAUUGGAAGACGUCAAAUCUAAAUGUAAAAGUUUGAAUGGAACAAAUAUUUUUGGACAGUG